UGGUGUGAAGUUGAUCUGGCUGCAACAUCUCUCAUUCCAUUGAUUGCCAGGAUUGAUUCGGCUGGUCUGGCUGGUUUGCCGUGGGUUCCCUUGCUUCCUCACCACUCCACGUACAUCCCUCCUGAAUCUGUGCACUUGGUCAGUCAGAGAAGAGGAUCACCCCCAGCAGAGGAGGACUAUUUCUUUGGUCAAAGUGUAUCAGUAGCUAUGUUCCACUACUAGAAUCUCUGUUGUGAAAUCUUCAGAAAUAAAAGUGCUUGUGUUACCUU
rnacentral:snRNA from 1 species